UGGGCCUGGAGCCCAAUGAGAGACAGGAUGGCUGAGCAGAAAGUUAGGUAACCCCCAUUACAAUAUAUCUCUUCACCUAGAACCUGGAGGAUUCAAUCUAACAAUAAUGUGAAAGGAGGAAACAUUUUGUGUUGCCCUAUGCCAGCAUUUCCAUUUACAAAGUGUUUAUGUCUGUGUUUUUCCAUGUCUGUGUGUGGGUGUGUGUCUGUUUGUGUGUGUGCCUGUGUCACUUGGGCUGCUUGCGUGGGUGUAUGUGCGUGUUUCCCUCCUCCGUAGCCUCCCUGCUAAGCUGAUUAAUGGGGGCGUGACAGGGCUGGUGGGUGUGAGCUGUGUGUUUCGUAAUGAUCGGGCCAAGACCCUCCGACAGAACCAGCAGGGUGCCCGGAGUCCACACCGGAAUGAGACUGAAAAUAUUUGGCAUGGGUCCCCAGAUCCUCAAAAGUUUCUACAGCUGCACCAUUAAGAGCAUCCUGACCGGUUGCAUCACUGCUCGACAUCUGACCAUCAGGCGCUACAGAGGCUGGACUGUUUGACGAAGACAGUAAAGAUGGAAGGCUACUUUGGGAUGUAUAGAGGUGCAGCUGUGAAUCUCACUCUUGUCACACCAGAGAAUGCCAUUAAACUGGCAGCAAAUAAUAUCUUCAGACAGAAGCUCUCCAAGGACGGGAAACUAACUUUUUGUCCUAGCACAGCACUUACACUUUUAACUAUUUAACUGAAACAUAAAUUUACAUACCUUAGAGUACUUUUUUAUCCAUCAAGUUAACAUAACAUUCAUGUAAUAAAGUCAGACGAACUAAGGUGCUAUUGCUACAGUAAACUGUCUCAUUUUAUCAGGGGUGAUGCCAUUAUUGUUAUUAUUGCUAUGUGUCUAUUUAUUAGUCUGUUAACCCUGUCAUUUGGCCCACAGGAAGUUGCCCCUGUGGGGGGAGAUACUGGCAGGAUGUGGGGCGGGGACCUGCCAGAUGAUAGUGACCACACCCAUAGAGAUGCUCAAGAUCCAUUUGCAGGACGCAGGAAGCUGACAUAAGCAGAGUGGUCCAAGCACACACUGCAGCUUCUGGUCCAGCUCCUGGUCCAUCUCCUCCAGCCCAGCCUGCCCCUCCACCUCACACCCCUGCCGUCCGUAUUACCCUGGAGCUACUGAAGACACACGGCCUGCCAGGCCUCUACCAGGGAGCAGGAGCCACACUGAUGAGGGAUUUUCCUUUCUCUAUGAUCUACUUCCCGCUGUUCACCAACCUGAACACGCUGUGAAGGGCCGAGUAGUCAUGGAGACUUGCAGGAGCGGGCCCCCUUCCUACAGCCGGAUCAGUGGCAGCUGUAGCUGUCACACCACUUGACGUCAUAAAGACUCGUAUACAGACCUUGCAGAAGGGGGGGACACAUGCCGUGGCAUUGUUGACUGCACACGGAGGAUCUGGAGGAUCUGUGAUCUUCCUGUCUGGGUUGGCGCCCCCCCCCUUGGGUUGUGCCGUGGCGGAGAUCUUUGUGGGCUAUACUCGGCCUUGUCUCAGGAUGAACCUGAGCCAUAGGACCAUGCCUCAGGACUACCUGACAUGAUGACUCUUUGCUGUCCCCAGUCCACCUGGCUGUGCUGCUGCUCCAGUUUCAACUGUUCUGCCUUAUUAUUAUUGGACCAUGCUGGUCAUUUAUGAACAUUUGAACAUCUUGGCCAUGUUCUGUUAUAAUCUCCACCCCGCACAGCCAGAAGAGGACUGGCCACCCCACAUAGCCUGGUUCCUCUCUAGGUUUCUUCCUAGGUUUUGGCCAUUCCAGGGAGUUUUUCCGAGCCACCGUGCUUCUACACCUGCAUUGCUUGCUGUUUGGGGUUUUAGGCUGGGUUUCUGUACAGCACUUUGAGAUAUCAGCUGAUGUACGAAGGGCUAUAAUAAAUACAUUUGAAUUUAAUUAAAGGGUCCAGCAACAUUCCUCAAGGGGGCAACUAGUCGCGCACUGGUCAUCAACCCCCUCUUUGGCACCGCACAGGGGGUCUACUUCCUGGGCGUAGGAGAGCAGUUGCUAGGGCUACUGGGAUAGCAGCAGCAUGUGUCAGUGUCCCUUACAGUACAAAACAUACUGCUUCAUUCAGCAGUGAAUUGAGGGAGAGAUUACUCUCCGUGGUUCUUAUGCAAAGGCUUUGCCAUCACAAAGGAAGUUACCAAGCUAUCAUGGUUUGACAAAAGCACUUUAUAUGUAAGUGACAAAUCCAUCAACAUUUGUUUUUAAACUAUCAAACAUUUUAUUUACUAAUGUUGUAUAAUGCUGACUACACUGCCAUGAGAAGUCUAAAAUGUGUCCGGCAAUUCAAAGCAAUUGGUCCACCUUUCACAGA